ensembl:lncRNA WASH5P WASP family homolog 5, pseudogene
CCGGCAGAGCGGAAGCGGCGGCGGGAGCUUCCGGGAGGGCGGCUCGCAGGCACCAUGACUCCUGUGAGGAUGCAGCACUCCCUGGCAGGUCAGACCUAUGCCGUGCCCUUCAUCCAGCCAGACCUGCGGCGAGAGGAGGCCGUCCAGCAGAUGGCGGAUGCCCUGCAGUACCUGCAGAAGGUCUCUGGAGACAUCUUCAGCAGCUCCAUCUUGUCUACAAGAUUUUGUUAGAAGCCGUCAAAAUCCUGCUGACUCGAGAUGCGCUGUGGUGCAUGUUUUCCCCGGGCACAGCAGGCUAAUAAUCCUGUUACAAAGAGAAAUGCUGUACAUUUCGAGCAGUGCUGGCCCCUGGGACUCACCGUGGCCUUUUCUAAGUGCUUACAGACUCUCUGUUUAAUAAUCCAUUCCAGAAAUUUUCCAGGGCUCAUUGUUGAGCUUGGUGUUCGCAACUUUGAGUGAUCAGCCCUUCUCCUUUGUGGGAGCACCAGGACAGAGCAGCCUUUGUCCCUCCCCAGUCUCAGUUCCCUCCCACUGCCCCUGUGGACCUCGAAUGCAGAGCUUAUGCACCUACCGAAGGUCGUGUCAGCACCCAAGGCAGAACGAGGCUGCCCUGGGAACUAGGGUCAAUUAAGACAGCUUGUGCUGGAGGACCCUUUACAGCAGAUGAAGGCCUCUCCCCAGCCAGAAAAGAUGGAGCACACGCUGGGUGGUGGCCCCGCUUCCUCACUGGAAGGAGAUGGUGCUCUUCUUUUUUCUUUCUGAAUUGUGGCCACCUUCAUACCAGUCUGUCAUGGAACACUUAAGUCGCUUGAGUGCCUGCUGGUACUCCCAGCCCUGCCAUGCCUGAGCCCCCUGCACACAAGGAGCCAGGAGUAAUCAGGGCAGACCCUUUAGGGCACGGGGACUUCUGGAUUGUGAAAUUGGCUCUCUGGGGGCCAAGGCCUUCUAACGUUGGUGGAAGUGGCUUUGGCUUAUUGGGUCGGAUUCUAGGCCAUUCAUUCCAACCUUUAGAGACAUCCCAGCUUUCCCUAGCCCAGAGUCUGCAGCCCCUCCACCAUCCCACAUCCUCCCCCUCCCUUUCCUCAUGAACCCCAGUCGCGCCUCUGCCUUCUCAAACCCCUCCACCAUCCCACACCCUCCUCCUGCC